rnacentral:misc_RNA from 1 species
GAACGUUCUCGUACCACAGCUUGUACGUGCUCUACUACCUAGAGUCACAGGCAGGGGACCCAAGCAGUUCCAACGAACGGCAGAACGAGCCUCAAGUCGACAUAAAUCCGGAGAGAAACACGUCGAUUUAUUACAGUAGAUACCGUCGGGUUGAAGUGAUCCAGGGUUUGGUUCAUCCAGUGCUCCUCCCGAGUCAGGUAACGGUCCGCGCCGCCGAGGAAGCCCCCUCCUCCGGCGGUCGGCGGCGGGAGCCAGAGACUGACGGCCUCGCCGCCUCGCGCGAGCAUGAGGAGGAUGGCGGCCGCGGUGACGAGGUGCACGGCGGCGGUGGCGAUGCGGGCGGACGCGGACCCCAUCGCCGGCUGCUUGAUGCGGACCGGUAGUGGGAUCGAUGGGAGUGGUGAAAUGGAGAUCCUUUGGAGCUCAACAGGGCAAGAGCAAGCAAAGCAACUGCCAAAGGCGGCGCCGGGCGAAACCGUACACGGAAAUUUUUUUUCUUCCCUUUGUGGGGGAGGGAAGAAGAAGCGUGCGCGGUUCUUUUUUUUUUCCUUUUCCAAGUCCAAGAGAGGUGCGGGUUUCUUUUUUGUUUUGCGAGUGCAAGUGUACACCUACUUCGUUCUUUUCUUUCCUUUUAUUUUGAGUCAAUUUUGUGCUCC